UCACGUAGUUCAGAACAUUUCUAAGCUAUGAAAAGUUGCUUGGCUAUCAGCCCAGAUCACCAGAGCCUCAGCUACCCAGUUCUUAUCAAGCAAGUGAACGGCGUGAAUGCCGCUCAAGCAUAUUUUGGAAAUGGAACCAGACUCACAGUACUAGACCCAAGUGUUCCUGUUACAUCACCCAAGAACCUCAAAAUCCUUAAGCCCUCUAAAGAAGAGAUCAAAAAGAAGAAAAAAGCCACGCUAGUGUGUGUGGCCACUGGUUUCUACCCUGACCACAUCACUGUUUCUUGGAAAGUCAAUGGACAGGACCAAACAAAAGGGGUUAAGACAGAUGAUGCAGCAAUCAAGGGCAACGACAAGAAGUACAGCAUCACCAGCCGGCUGAGAGUCAGAGAAACAGAAUGGUUUAACCCCAAGAAAAAAUUCACCUGCAUCACUUCCUUCUACAAUGGGUCCGCCUAUAUGAAAAAUGAAGUGCAGAUCAAUGGAGAGGGUUGUGGCCUCACUGCAGAUGCUUACAUGGGAAGCACAAAAAAUGUAUCCACAUACUAUGUCAUUUUCCUUGGCAAAUCUGUCAUGUAUGGGCUGUUUGUGACUGUUCUAGCCUGGAAAAUAAAGAGAAAUUCAGGAAAACAUUACAACUGAAGGAUUGUAAAACCAGUCACAUAAGAAGAGAUGUGAAACUUCUAUUUGCUUAUAAAAGGAUAUUUCCUUUACAUUCUGGUAACCAUGAUGUGCUAUAGGAUUAGGGACUGGCACUAACAUGACCUUCUACCAAUCGUAUAACUUCAGUUUCCUUUUGUUCCAAAAAAUUAUAAGGGAACAGUAUCACUUGCAAUGAGGUAUGCAGAAGUGUAUAAGUGAAUUACUGCUGCACUAAAGAAUUUUUUAAUACCCUGAAUUACACAUGAGUGUUUUACCUAUAUGAACUCUGUGUCUGUCAUAAAUCCUAAAAAUAAAGUAUUUGUUUUCUGCAACUCUGUCAAUAAAGACAUUUAUUUUGGAAUUUAUGAAGCAAUAUGUUAUUAGUGGUUACAAUGCACAUUACUUGACAAACAAUCAAAUUAAUAUUCAAAAUAAACUAAUCCAACUGUAAGUAAAUGUAAACCGUCAUAACUGUAGUACCAUACAACUGUAGUAAAUGUAAAGGCACCUCUCCUGUUAUCAUUAAGGCAAUAUACAUAUUGUAUUUGUUUAUAAAGCCAAAUCUACAAUCUGGAUAUUGACAAGUUUGUCAGUUAUUGUUGUUUUGUACUGUCUGAUGCUUCUAUUAUUUUGUGCUGUAAUUAUAUAAUUAUCCAAAUAUCUACAAUGCGCUUUUUCAGCUGUCUGAUAUUUUAUAUCCUGUGUAGGAUAUAAAAACGAAGAGGAAAAAUUAACUCAACUGUGUCUGAAAGUUGAAAGGCAAAAAGAAAACAUUAUCUAGAUUAAUCCUUAAGUGAAGUGAUAUUUGCUGUUGUUAUACAUUGUUUUAACUCUGUAAAAAAUGUUAAAUAUAAUUUGUGAAAACCAUCUGUUUCCUUUCUGUACCUUCUCUUUAUAUAGAGAAUUAAAAUCAUUUUCUUUCUCACAA